UACGGAAGGUGCGAGCGUUAAUCGGAAUUACUGGGCGUAAAGCGUGCGCAGGCGGUUUCUUAAGUCAGAUGUGAAAGCCCCGGGCUUAACCUGGGAACUGCGUUUGAAACUGGGAGACUUGAGUGUGGCAGAGGGGGGUGGAAUUCCACGUGUAGCAGUGAAAUGCGUAGAUAUGUGGAGGAACACCGAUGGCGAAGGCAGCCCCCUGGGUUAACACUGACGCUCAUGCACGAAAGCGUGGGGAGCAAACAGG
rnacentral:rRNA from 1 species